rnacentral:rRNA from 1 species
CUGGUGUAGCGGUGAAAUGCGCAGAUAUCAGGAGGAACACCGAUGGCGAAGGCAGGUCUCUGGGCUGUUACUGACGCUGAGGAGCGAAAGCAUGGGGAGCGAACAGGAUUAGAUACCCUGGUAGUCCAUGCCGUAAACGUUGGGCACUAGGUGUGGGGGACAUUCCACGUUUUCCGCGCCGUAGCUAACGCAUUAAGUGCCCCGCCUGGGGAGUACGGCCACAAGGCUAAAACUCAAAGGAAUUGACGGGGGCCCGCACAAGCGGCGGAGCAUGCGGAUUAAUUCGAUGCAACGCGAAGAACCUUACCAAGGCUUGACAUUCACCGGACCGCCCCAGAGAUGGGGUUUCCCUUCGGGGCUGGUGGACAGGUGGUGCAUGGUUGUCGUCAGCUCGUGUCGUGAGAUGUUGGGUUAAGUCCCGCAACGAGCGCAACCCUCGUUCUAUGUUGCCAGCACGUGAUGGUGGGGACUCAUAGGAGACUGCCGGGGUCAACUCGGAGGAAGGUGGGGAUGACGUCAAAUCAUCAUGCCCCUUAUGUCUUGGGCUUCACGCAUGCUACAAUGGCCGGUACAAAGGGUUGCGAUACUGUGAGGUGGAGCUAAUCCCAAAAAGCCGGUCUCAGUUCGGAUUGAGGUCUGCAACUCGACCUCAUGAAGUCGGAGUCGCUAGUAAUCGCAGAUCAGCAACGCUGCGGUGAAUACGUUCCCGGGCCUUGUACACACCGCCCGUCAAGUCACGAAAGUUGGUAACACCCGAAGCCGGUGGCCUAACCCCUUGUGGGAGGGAGCCGUCGAAGGUGGGACUGGCGAUUGGGACU